rnacentral:rRNA from 11 species
GUUUUGUUUUUCCUGAAGAGAAAGAAAAGGAAAGGGCGGGCCUGGAGAGGGAGAUCCCUUGUAGACGACUUGGGAGCGGGGACAGGUAUUGUAAGGAGUAGAGUAGCCUGGUUUUUUUUGCUACGAUCUCUUGAGAUUUAGCCUGAGCCACCCAGAU